AUGAACGCUAGCGACAGGCUAACACAUGCAAGUCGAGGGGUAACAGGGUAGCAAUACCGCUGACGACCGGCGCACGGGUGAGUAACGCGUAUGCAACCUGCCUAUAACUGGGGAAUAGCUCCCUGAAAGGGGAAUUAACACCGCAUAACACUAUUGAUUCGCAUGGAUUGGUAGUUAAAUGUAGCGAUACAGGUUAUAGAUGGGCAUGCGUGACAUUAGCUAGUUGGUGAGGUAACGGCUCACCAAGGCUACGAUGUCUAGGGGUUCUGAGAGGAAGGUCCCCCACACUGGUACUGAGACACGGACCAGACUCCUACGGGAGGCAGCAGUGAGGAAUAUUGGUCAAUGGGCGCAAGCCUGAACCAGCCAUGUCGCGUGCAGGAAGACUGCCCCUAUGGGUUGUAAACUGCUUUUAUAGUAGAAGAAACACAUCUACGCGUAGAUGUCUGCCAGUAUACUAUGAAUAAGCAUCGGCUAACUCCGUGCCAGCCGCCGC
rnacentral:rRNA from 1 species